rnacentral:rRNA from 1 species
GGCAAAGGAUGUGCGUCCGCCCAGACAACCAGGAUGUUGGCUUAGAAGCAGCCAUCCAUUCAAAGAGUGCGUAACAGCUCACUGGUCGAGUGGACAUGCGCCGACAAUACACGGGGCUAAGCUGGACACCGAAGCGGCGGGAUUUUAAUUCAUUAGAAUCGGUAGGGGAGCUUCCCAUGGGCGGAGAAGCCGGAGGGCGACCGACGGUGGAGCGCAUGGGAGUGAGAAUGCUGGCAUGAGUAGCGAGAGACGAGAGAGUAACUCGUCCGCCGUGAACCCGAGGUUUCCUGGGCAAGGCUAAUCCUCCCAGGGUCAGUCGGGGGCUAAGGCGAGGCCGGGAGGCGUAGCCGACGCGCAGCAGGCAGACAUUCCUGCACCGCGCACGCGGCGCUACGACCGACGGGGCGACGGAUGGGGGUGGCUCGGCGGGGUUCUGGACGUCCCCGUGAUGGAGCGCGGCCCGCGGACCAGGGAAAUCCGGUCCGCAUUGAGGGCGAGGCUCCGGACGAAGCGACUGAGCGAAGCGAGUGAGCCCGAGGUCCCUAGAAAAACCCCUAGGCAGGCGCGUGCGCGCCCGUACCGCAAACCGACACAGGUGGGUGGGUAGAACAUACCGAGGCGAUCGGGUCAACCAUGGUCAAGGAACUCGGCACAAUGGCCCCGUAACUUCGGGAGAAGGGGUGCCCGCGCGUACGUGAACCGGCUUGCCCGGGGAGCGGAGGCGGGCCGCAGUGGAGAGGCCCAAGCGACUGUUUACCAAAAACACAGGACUCUGCAGAAGCCGCAAGGCGACGUAUAGGGUCUGACGCCUGCCCGGUGCCGGAAGGUCACGCGGAGGAGUUAGCUUUCGAGCGAAGCCCCGAAGCCAAGCCCCGGUAAACGGCGGCCGUAACUAUAACGGUCCUAAGGUAGCGAAAUUCCUUGUCGGGUAAGUUCCGACCUGCACGAAAGGCGCAACGACUUGGGCGCUGUCUCGACCAUGGACCCGGUGAAAUUGCACUGGUCGUGAAGAUGCGACUUACCCGCGGAAGGACGGAAAGACCCCGUGAACCUUCACUGCAGCUUGGCAUUGGCCGCUGGUCCCGCGUGUAGAGGAUAGGCAGGAGGCUAAGAUCCGGAGGCGCCAGCCCCCGGGGAGCCGCCCUUGGAAUACUGCCCUCGCGCGACCGGCGUCCUAACCCGAGGCCGUCAACCGGCUCGGGGACCGUGCCAGGCGGGCAGUUUGACUGGGGCGGUCGCCUCCUAAAGGGUAACGGAGGCGCGCGAAGGUCCGCUCGGGACGGUCGGCAACCGUCCUUUUGAAUGCAAGAGUACAAGCGGGCUUGACUGCGAGGCCCACAAGCCGAGCAGGUGCGAAAGCAGGCUCUAGUGAUCCGGCGGCCCCGAGUGGGUGGGCCGUCGCUCAACGGAUAAAAGGUACUCCGGGGAUAACAGGCUGAUCUUGCCCAAGAGUCCACAUCGACGGCAAGGUUUGGCACCUCGAUGUCGGCUCAUCGCAUCCUGGGGCUGGAGCAGGUCCCAAGGGUACGGCUGUUCGCCGUUUAAAGCGGUACGCGAGCUGGGUUCAGAACGUCGUGAGACAGUUCGGUCCCUAUCCUCCGUGGGCGCAGGAGAAUCGAUGGAGGCUGCCCCCAGUACGAGAGGACCGGGGUGGACGCACCUCCGGUGAACCGGUUGUCGACCAACGGCACGGCCGGGUAGCCGCGUGCGGCGCGGAUAACCGCUGAAGGCAUCUAAGCGGGAAGCCGUUCCAGGGAUUAGUUCUCCUUCCGGUAAGGGCCCAGGUAGACUACCUGGUCGAUAGACGGCAGGUGCAAGGGCGGCGACGUCCUCAGCCGAGCCGCACUAAUCGCCCGAGCUCUUCCGGA